GCACCCUGAUCUGCACGCCCUGGUGGGCGCCCGCUGUCCUGCGUGCGAGGAUGUCCCUGGAGGAGGCAUCUUGGUGCAGAGGGGCCCGUGAGAGGUGUCUCAAUCCUGCCAGGAAGCAGCUGGACCAUGGUGCUCCUGAGGAGUGUCUCAUCGUGCUGCUCCAUGUACAUCGUGAGAGGUGUCCUAGCGUGGAUUGUGAGGUCCCAGAUGGGUGUGCUGUGUGCAGAGGCUCCGUGGGACAUGUCGUUUUCAUAGCGGGGCGCUAGACCGUGGGGUCCCAAGGUCUCAGCCUUAGAUGCAGAGACCAUGCAAAGAAGUCCCAAGGCCAUGCAAUCAGUGACCCCUGGGAUGACCUAGGCCUCUGGGUUUGCCGAUAAUUUUCACCAUGGU